UUCUAUCUUUUAUGAGUAAUUUUGUUUCUUAUCUAUCAAAUGUUAGGAUUAUGAGGAUCUCACAAUAAUAAACGUGGUGCUAGUGUAACACUGGAAAACAUAUUGAGUUGCUUUCCUUUAUACCAUACUGUCUCAUUUUAAAUUUGUUGUUAUUAUUCUAUUUUCUUUUUUUCUUUUUCAUUUUCUAGUAAUUAUUCUAUCUUAUUUUUUUAUUUUUCAUUUUCUACUUAUAAUUAGUAUUUUAGCAUAUUUUUUAAUUUGUAUAACUUAUGUUAAUUGUUUAAUUAUCAGAAUAUAGAAGAUGACAUUUUAUGUUCUUAAGGAUAUAAGUAUAUAUUUAAUUAAUUUUGAUAUUCAAUACAUAUCUUUCUAAACUAGUUAAUAUCAAGGUUUGUUACUCAUUACAUGUUUGAUUGAUUUAUAUAAUUGAGGAUGUACUUAUUAGAAAUAUUUAGCUUACAUUAUUUAAUAGAAAUCUCUGGUUCAUAUUCACUUUAUGAUUGUAUAAACAAACUUAUUAGAAAUAUUUAGCUUACAUUAUUUAAUAGAAAUCUCUGGUUCAUAUUCACUUUAUGAUUGUAUAAACAAAAUACAAAGGGUAGAAAAAUACGUACUGCUGAAAAAUUGUCAUAUUUUUUUUUCUAUCUUUUAUGAGUAAUUUUCCUUCUUUUCUAUCAAAUGUACAGAUCAAGUGAUUUCUGAUAUAGGUUGAUCUUUUGAAGGUUACACAUCUCUACCUUUUUUUUUUGUCACCCUAUUCAUCUGUGUUUCCUCUAAUUUUCAAUUUUAUUCUUGCAACACCAAUGAUUAUGAUAGGGUUUUUCGUAUUGUUUUUAUGAGAUUGAGAUGUUUGUUAGGAUUAUGAGGAUCUCACAAUAAUACAGGUGGUGCUAAUGUAACAUUGGAAAAAUGAUUGAGUUGGUUUCCUUUGAUACAUACAGUCUCAUUUUCAUUUUCUUGUAAUUAUUCUAUUUUCCUUUUUUCUUUUUCAUUUUCUUGUAAUUAUUCUUUUUUCUUUUUCAUUUUCUACUUAUAAUUAGUAUUUUAGCAUAUUUUUUAAUCUGUAUAACUUAUGUUAAAUGUUUAAUUAUCAGAAUAUAGAAGAUGACAUUUUAUGUUCUUAAGGAUAUAAGUAUAUAUUUAAUUAAUUUUGAUGUUCAAUACAUAUCUUUCUAAACUAUUUAAUGUCAAUGUUUGUUACUCAUUACAUGUUUGAUUGAUUUAUAUAAUUGAGGAUGUACUUAAUAGAAAUAUUUAGCUUACAUUAUUUAAUAGAAAUCUCUGGUUCAUAAUCACUUUAUGAUUGUAUAAACAAAAUACAAAGGGUAAAAAAAUACGUACUGCUGAAAAAUUGUCAUAUUUUCUUUUUUUUCUAUCUUUUAUGAGUAAUUUUCAUUCUUAUCUAUCAAAUGUACAGAUCAAGUGAUUUCUGAUAUAGGUUGAUCUUUUGAAGGUUACACAUCUCUACCUUUUUUAUUUUGUCACCCUAUUCAUUUGUGUUUCCUCUUAUUUUCAAUUUUAUUCUUGCGUCACCAAUGAUUAUGAUAGGGUUUUUCGUAUUGUUUUGAUGAGAUUGAGAUGUUUGUUAGGAUUAUGAGGAUCUCACAAUAAUACAGGUGGUGCUAAUGUAACACUGGAAAAAUGAUUGAGUUGGUUUCCUUUAAUACAUACAGUCUCAUUUUCAUUUUCUUGUAAUUAUUCUAUUUUCCUUUUUUCUUUUUCAUUUUCUUGUAAUUAUUCUUAUUUCUUUUUUCUUUUUCAUUUUCUACUUAUAAUUAGUAUUUUAGACUAUUUUUUUAUCUGUGUAACUUAUGUUAAUUGUUUAAUUAAUAGAAUAUAGAAGAUGACAUUUAUUGUUCUUAAGGAUAUAAGUAUAUAUUUAAUUAAUUUUGAUGUUUAAUACAUAUCUUUCUAAACUAUUUAAUGUCAAUGUUUGUUACUCAUUACAUGUUUGAUUGAUUUAUAUAAUUGAGGAUGUACUUAUAACAAAUACUUAGCUGAAAUUACUUAAUAGAAAUCUCUGGUUCAUAAUAAGUUUAAGAUUGUAUAAACAAAAUACAAAGGGUAAAAAAAUACGUACAUCUGAAAAAUUGUCAUAUUUUCCUUUUUAUUCUAUCAUUUAUGAGUAAUUUUCUUUCUUAUCUAUCAAAUGUACGGAUCAAGUGAUUUCUAAUAUAGGUUAAUCUUUUGAAGGUUAUACAUCUCUCAAUCGUUUAUUUUGUCACUCUAUUCAUUUGUGUUUCCUGUUAUUUCCAAUUUUAUUCUUGCAUCACCAAUGAUUAUGAUAGGGUUUUUCGUAUUGUUUUGAUGAGAUUGAGAUUUUUGUUAGGAUAUACUCCUAGAGUGUUAUUAUUUGCACCACGAUCACAUUGUGACCUUUACUGAUUGAGUUGGUUUCCUUUAUACCAUACAGUCUCAUUAUAAGCUUGUUGUUAUUAUUCUUUUUUCUUUUUUUCUUUUUCAUUUUCUAGUAAUUAAUUUAUCUUAUUUUUUUCUUUUUCAUUUUCUACUUAUAAUUAGUAUUUUAGCAUAUUUUUUAAUUUGUAUAAGUUAUGUUAAUUGUUUAAUUAUCAGAAUAUAGAAGAUGACAUUUUACGGUCCUAAGGAUAUAAGUAUAUAUUUAAUUAAUUUUGAUGUUCAAAACAUAUCUUUCUAAACUAAUUAAUGUCAAGGUUUAUUACUCAUUACAUGUUUGAUUGAUUUAUAUAAUCGAGGAUGUACUUAUUAGCAAUAUUUAGCUUACAUUAUUUAAUAGAAAUUUCUGGUUCAUAUUCACUUUAUGAUUGUAUAAACAAAAUACAAAGGGUAAAAAAAUACGUACUGCUGAAAAAUUGUCAUAUUUUCUUUUUUUUUCUAUCUUUUAUGAGUAAUUUUCCUUCUUAUCUAUCAAAUGUAUAGAUCAAGUGAUUUCUGAUAUAGGUUGAUCUUUUGAAGGUCACACAUCUCUACCUUUUUUAUUUUGACACCCUAUUCAUCUGUGUUUCCUCUUAUUUGCAAUUUUAUUCUUGCAACACCAAUGAUUAUGACAGGGUUUUUCGUAUUGUUUUUAUGAGAUUGAGAUGUUAGUUAGGAUUAUGAGGAUCUCACAAUAAUACAGGUGGUGCUAAUGUAACACUGGAAAAACGAUUGAGUUGGUUUCCUUUAAUACAUACAGUCUCAUUUUCAUUUUCUUGUAAUUAUUCUAUUUUCCUUUUUUCUUUUUCUUUUUCUUGUAAUUAUUCUUUUUUCUUUUUUUCUUUUUCAUUUUCUAAUUAUAAUUAUUAUUUUAGCAUAUUUUUUAAUUUGUGUAACUUAUCUUAAUUGUUUAAUUAUCAGAAUAUAGAAGAUGACAUUUUAUGUUCUUAAGGAUAUAAGUAUAUAUUUAAUUAAUUUUGAUGUUCAAUACAUAUCUCUCUAAACUAUUUAAUGUCAAUGUUUUUUACUCAUUACAUGUUUGAUUGAUUUAUAUGAAUGGGGAUGUACUUAAUGAAAAUAUUUUGCUUACAUUAUUUAAUAGAAAUCUUUGGUUCAUAUUCACUUUAUGAUUGUAUAAACAAAAUACCAAGGGUAAAAAAAUACGUACUGCUGAAAAAUUGUCAAAUUAUCUUUUUUUUCUAUCUUUUAUGAGUAUUUUUCAUUCUUAUCUAUCAAAUGUACAGAUCAUGUGAUUUCUGAUAUAGGUUGUUCUUUUGAAGGUUACACAUCUCUACCUUUUUUAUUUUGUCACCCUAUUCAUCUGUGUUUCCUCUUAUUUUCAAUUUUAUUCUUGCGUCACCAAUGAUUAUGAUAGGGUUUUUCGUAUUGUUUUGAUGAGAUUGAGAUGUUUGUUAGGAUUAUGAGGAUCUCACAAUAAUACAGGUGGUGCUAAUGUAACACUGGAANCAAUUAACAUAAGUUACACAGAUUAAAAAUAUGCUAAAAUACUAAUUAUAAGUGGAAAAUGAAAAAGAAAAGAAAAAAGAAAUAAUUACAAGAAAUGAAAAAGAAAAAAGGAAAAUAGAAUAAUUACAAGAAAAUGAAAAUGGAGACUGUAUGUAUUAAAGGAAACCAACUCAAUCAUUUUUCCAGUGUACAUUAGCACCACCUGUAUUAUUUGUGAGAUCCUCAUAAUCCUAACAAAACAUCUCAAUCUCAUCAAAACAAUACGAAAAACCCUUCAUAAUCAUUGGUGUGCAAGAAUAAAAUUGAAAAUAAGAGGAAACACAGAAAUGAAUAGGGUGACAAAAUUAAAAAAGGUAGAGAUGUGUGAACCUUCAAAAGAUCAACCUAUAUCAGAAAUCACUUGAUCUGUAAAUUGAUAGAUAAGAAGAAAAUUACUCAUAAAAUAGAAAAAAAAGAAAAUAUGACAAUUUUUCAGCAGUACGGAUUUUUUUACCCUUUGUAUUUUGUUAUACAAUCAUAAAUGAAUAUGAACAGAGAUUUCUAUUAAAUAAUGUAAGCUAAAUAUUUCUAAUAAGUACAUCCUCAAUUAUAUAAAUCAAUCAAACGUAAUGAGUAACAAACCUUGACAUUAAGUGUUAGAAGAUAUGUAUGAACAUCAAAAUUAAUUAAAUAUAUACUUAUUACCGUAAGAACAUAAAAUGUCAUCUUCUAUAUUUGAUAAUUAAACAAUUAACAUAAUUAUACAGAUAAAAAUAUGCUAAAAUACUAAUUAUAAUGAGAAAAUGAAAAAGAAAAAAUAAAAUAAAGUAAUUACAAGACCAAAAGAAAAGAAAAAAAAGAAAAAGAAUAAUACAACAAAUUAAAUGAGACGUAUGGUAUAAAGGAAACCAACUCAAUCAAGUUUUCCAGUGUUACACUAGCACCACGUUAUUAUUUUGAGGAUCCUCAUAAUCCUAACAAAAUCUCAAUCUCAUCAAAACAAUACGAAAAAAAACCUAUCAUAAUCAUUGGUGAUGCAAGAAUAAAAUUGAAAAUAAACAGGAAACACAAAUGAAUAGAGUGACAAAAUAAAACAAAGUAGAGAUGUAAACCUUCAAAGAUGAAACUAUAUAGAAAUCACUUUAAUCCGUUACAUUUGAUAGAUAAGAAAAAUACUCAUAAAAGAUAGAAAAAAAAGGAAAAUAUGACAAUUUUUCAGCAGUACAUAUUUUUUUACCCUUUGUAUUUGUUUAUACAAUCUAAACUGAUUGAUGAACCAGAGAUUUCUAUUAAGUUGUAAGCUAAAUAUUUGUAUUAAGUACAUCCUCAAUUAUAUAAUCAUUCAAACAGUAAUGAGUAACAAAACAUUGACAUUAAAUAGUUUAGAAAGAUAUGUAUUGAACAUCAAAUUAAUAUAAUAUAUUACUUAUAUCCUUAAGAACAUAAAAUGUCAUCUUCUAUAUUCGAUAAUUAAACAAUUAACAUAAGUUACACGAAUUAAAAAAUAUGCUAAAAUACUAAUUAAAGUAGAAAUGAAAAAGAAGAAGAAAAAGAAUAAUUACAAGAAAAUGAAAAAAAGAAAAAAGGAAAAUAGAAUAAUUACAAGAAAAUGAAAAUGAGACUGUAUGUAUUAAAGGAAACCAACUCAAUCAUUUUUCAGUGUUACAUUAGCACCACCUGUAUUAUUGUGAGAUCCUCAUAAUCCUAAACAACAUCUCAAUCUCAUCAAAAACAAUACGAAAAACCCUAUCAUAAUCAUUGGUGACGCAAGAAUAAAAUUGAAAUAAGAGGAAACACAAAUGAAUAGGGUGACAAAUAAAAAAGGUAGAGAUGUGUAACCUUCAAAAGAUCAACCAUAUCAGAAAUCACUUGAUCUGUACAUUUGAUAGAUAAGAAUGAAAAUUACUCAUAAAAAUAGAAAAAAAGAAAAUAUGACAAUUUUUCAGCAGUAACGUAUUUUUUUACCCUUUGUAUUUUGUUUAUACAAUCAUAAAUGAAUAUGAACCAGAAUUCAUUAAAUAAUGUAAGCUAAAUAUUUUCUAAUAAGUACAUCCUCAUUAUAUAAAUCAAUCAAACUGUAAUGAGUAACAAACCUUGACAUUUAAUGUUUAGAAAGAUAUGUAUUGAACACAAAUAAUUAAAUUAUACUUAUAACCUUAAGAACAUAAAAUGUCAUCUUCUAUAUUUGAUAAUUAAACAAUUAACAUAAGUUAUACAGAAUUAAAAAUAUGCUAAAUACUAAUUAUAAUAGAAAUGAAAAAAAAGAAAAAAAUAAGAAUAAUUACAAGAAAAUGAAAAGAAAAAAAGAAAUAGAAUAAUAACAACAAAUUUAAAUGAGACCGUUAUGGUAUAAAGGAAACCACUCAAUAGUUUCCAGUGUUACACUAGCACCACGUUAUUAUUUUGAGACCUCAUAAUCCUAACAAAAAAUCUCAUCUCAUCAAAACAAUACGAAAAACCCUAUCAUAAUCAUGGUGGAUGCAAGAAUAAAAAUGAAAUAACAGGAAACACAAAUAAUAGAGUGACAAAAUAAACAAGUUAGAGAUGUAUAACCUUCAAAGAUAACCUAUAUCAGAAAUCACUUGAUCUGUACAUUGAUAGAUAAGAAAGAAAAUUACUCAUAAAAGAUAGAAAAAAAGAAAAAAUAUGACAAAUUUUCAGCAUACGUAUUUUUUUACCCUUUGUAUGUUUGUUUAUACAAUCAUAAAUUGAUAUGAACAGAGAUUUCUAUUAAGAAUGUAAGCAAAUAUUGUUUAUAAGUACAUCCUCAAUUAUAUAAAUCAAUCAACAUGUAAUGAGUAACAAACAUUGACAAUAAAUAGUUUAGAAAGAUAUGUAUUGAACAUCAAAAUUAAUUAAAUAUAUACUUAUAUCCUUAGAACAUAAAAUGUCAUCUUCUAUAUUUUGAUAAUUAAACAAUUAACAUAAGUUCAUACAGAUUAAAAAAUAUGCUAAAUACUAAUUAUAAUAGAAAAUGAAAAAAAAAAGAAAAAGAAUAAUUAAAAAAAUGAAAAAGAAAAAAGAAAAUAGAAUAAAACAAAAAUGAAAUGAGACCGUAUGUAUUAAAGGAAACCACUCAAUAUUUUCCAGUGUUACAUAGCACCCACGUUUAUUAUUGUGAGAUCCUCAUAAUCCUAACAAAAAUCUCAAUCUCAUCAAAACAAUACGAAAAACCCUAUCAUAAUCAUUGGUGAGCAAGAAUAAAUAAAAUAAAGGAAACACAAAUGAAUAGGUGACAAAAUAAAACAAGUUUAGAGAUGUUAACCUUCAAAGUAACCUAUAUCAGAAAUCACUAUUCCGUACAUUGAGUAGAUAAGAAAAAAUUACUCAUAAAAGAUAGAAAAAAAAGAAAAUAUGACAAUUUUCAGCAAGUACAUAUUUUUUUACCCUUUGUAUUUUGUUUAUACAAUCAAUAAUGAUUAUGAACCAAGAUUUCUAUUUAAUAAUGAAGCUAAAUAUUUUAUUAAGUACAUCCUCAUUAUAUAAAUCAAUCAAACAUGUAAUGAGUAACAAACAUUGACAUUAAAUAGUUUAGAAAGAUAUGUAUUGAACAUCAAAAUUAAUUAAAUAUAUACUUAUAUCCUUAGAACAUAAAAUGUCAUCUUUCUAUAUUCUGAUAAUAAACAAUUAACAUAAGUUACACAGAUUAAAAAUAUGCUAAAAUACUAAUUAUAAGUUAGAAAUGAAAAAGAAAAGAAAAAGAAUAAUUACAAGAAAAUGAAAAAGAAAAAAGAAAAUAGAAUAAUUACAAGAAAAUGAAAAUGAGACUGUAUGUAUUAAAGGAACCAACUCAAUCAUUUUUCCAUGUACAUUACCACCUGUAUUAUUGUGAGAUCCUCAUAAUCUACAAAAACAUCUCAAUCUCAUCAAAACAUACGAAAAAACCCGUAUCAUAAUCAUUGGUGAGCAAGAAUAAAAUUGAAAAAUAAGAGGAAACACAGAUGAAUAGGGUGCACAAAAUAAAAAAGUAGAGAUGUUGUAACCUUCAAAAGAUCAAACCUAUAUCAGAAAUCACUUUAUCGUACAUUUGAUAGAUUAAGAAGAAAAUUACUCAUAUAAAAAUAGAAAAAAAGAAAAUAUGACAAUUUUUCAGCAGUACUGUAUUUUUUUACCCUUUGUAUUUUGUUUAUACAAUCAUAAAGUGAAUAUGAACCAGAGAUUUCUAUUAAAGUAAUGUAAGCUAAAUAUUUCUAAUAAGUACAUCCUCAAUUAUAUAAACAAUCAAACGUGUAAUGAGUAAAAAACCUUGACAUUAAUUAGUUUAGAAAGAUAUGUAUUGAACAUCAAAAAUUAAUUAAUAUAUACUUAUCCUUAAGAACUAAAAUGUCAUCUUCUAUAUUCUGAUAAUUAACAAUUAACAUAGUUAUAGCAAUAAAAAAAUAUGCUAAAUACUAAUUAUAAUAGAAAAUGAAAAAGAAAAAUAAAAUACAUAAUACAAGAAAAUGAAAAAGAAAAAAAAAAAAUGAAUAAUAACAACAAAUUGUAAAAUGAGACCGUAUGGUAUAAAGGAAACCAACUCAAUAGUUUUCCAGUGUUACACUUAGCACCACGUUUAUUAUUGUGAGAUCCUCAUAAUCCUAACAAAAAUCUCAAUCUCAUCAAAACAAUACGAAAACCCUAUCAUAAUCAUUGGUGAUGCAGAAUAAAUUGAAAAUAACAGGAAACACAAAUGAAUAGAGUGACAAAAUAAACAGUUGUGAGAUGGUAUAACCUUCAAAAAGAUACCUAUAUCAGAAAUCACUUAAUCCGUUCAUUUGAUAGAUAAGAAAAAAUUACUCAUAAAAGAUAGAAAAAAAGGAAAAUAUUGACAUUUUCAGCAUACGUAUUUUUUUACCCUUGUAUUUUUUUAUACAAUCAUAAACUUAUUAUGAACCAGAGAUUUCUAUUAAGUAUGUAGCUAAAUAUUGUAUUAAGUACAUCCUCAAUUAUUAUAAAUCAAUCAAACAUGUAAUGAGUAACAAACAUGACAUUUAAUAGUUUAGAAAGAUAUGUAUUGAACAUCAAAAUUAAUUAAAUAUAUACUUAUAUCCUUAAGAACAUAAAAUGUCAUCUUCUAUAUCUGAUAAUAAACAAUUACAUAAGUUACACAGAUAAAAAAUAUGCUAAAAUACUAAUUAUAAGUAGAAAAUGAAAAAAAAAGAAAAAAGAAUAAUACAAGAAAUGAAAAAGAAAAAGGAAAAAUAGAAUAAUUACAAGAAAAUGAAAAUGAGACUGUAUGUAUUAAAGGAAACCAACUCAAUCAUUUUUCCAGUGUUACAUUAGCACCACCUGUAUUAUUGUGAGAUCUCAUAAUCCUAACAAACAUCUCAAUCUCAUCAAAACAAUACGAAAAACCCUAUCAUAAUCAUUGGUGACGCAAGAAUAAAAUUGAAAAUAAGAGGAAACACAAUGAAUAGGGUGACAAAAUAAAAAAGGUAGAGAUGUGUAACCUUCAAAGAUCAACCUAUAUCAGAAAUCACUUGAUCUGUACAUUUGAUAGAUAAGAAUGAAAAUUACUCAUAAAAAUAGAAAAAAAGAAAAUAUGACAAUUUUCAGCAGUACGUAUUUUUUUACCCUUUGUAUUUGUUUAUAAAUCAUAAAGUGAAUAUGAACCAGAGGAUUCUAUUAAUAAUGUAAGCUAAAUAUUUCUAAUAAGUACAUCUCAUUAUAUAAAUCAAUCAAACUGUUAAUGAGUAAAAACCUUGACAUUAAUUAGUUUAGAAGAGUAUGUAUUGAACAUCAAAAUUAAUUAAAUAUAUACUUAUACCUUAGAACAUAAAAUGUCAUCUUCUAUAUUGCUGAUAAUUAAACAUUAACAUAAGUUAUACAGAUUAAAAAAAUAUGCUAAAAUAACUAAUUAUACUAGAAAAUGAAAAAAAAAAAAAAAUAGAAUAAUUCAACAAAAUGAAAAGAAAAAAGAAAAAUAGAAAUAAUCAACAAAUUAAAUGAGACCGUAUGGUAUAAAGCGGAAAAAACCAGCUUCAAUAAGUUUUCCAGUGUUACACUAGCACCACGUUUAUUUUAUGUUCUUAAGGAUAUAAGUAUAUAUUUAAUUAAUUUUGAUGUUUAAUACAUAUCUUUCUAAACUAUUUAAUGUCAAUGUUUGUUACUCAUUACAUGUUUGAUUGAUUUAUAUAAUUGAGGAUGUACUUAUAACAAAUAUUUAGCUGAAAUUACUUAAUAGAAAUCUCUGGUUCAUAAUAAGUUUAAGAUUGUAUAAACAAAAUACAAAGGGUAAAAAAAUACGUACAUCUGAAAAAUUGUCAUAUUUUCCUUUUUAUCUUAUCUUUUAUGAGUAAUUUUAUUUCUUAUCUAUCAAAUGUACGGAUCAAGUGAUUUCUAAUAUAGGUUAAUCUUUUGAAGGUUAUACAUCUCUCAAUCGUUUAUUUUGUCACUCUAUUCAUUUGUGUUUCCUGUUAUUUUCAAUUUUAUUCUUGCAUCACCAAUGAUUAUGAUAGGGUUUUUCGUAUUGUUUUGAUGAGAUUGAGAUUUUUGUUAGGUCUAUGAGGAUCUCACAAUAAUAAACGUGGUGCUAGUGUAACACUGAUUUUCAAUUUUAUUCUUGCAUCACCAAUGAUUAUGAUAGGGUUUUUCGUAUUGUUUUGAUGAGAUUGAGAUUUUUGUUAGGUCUAUGAGGAUCUCACAAUAAUAAACGUGGUGCUAGUGUAACACUGAAAAACUGAUUGAGUUGGUUUCCUUUAUACCAUACAGUCUCAUUAUAAGGGUGUUGUUAUUAUUCUAUUUUCCUUUUUUCUUUUUCAUUUUCUUGUAAUUAAUUUAUCUUAUUUUUUUCUUUUUCAUUUUCUACUUAUAAUUAGUAUUUUAGCAUAUUUUUUAAUUUGUAUAAGUUAUGUUAAUUGUUUAAUUAUCAGAAUAUAGAAGAUGACAUUUUACGGUCCUAAGGAUAUAGGUAUAUAUUUAAUUAAUUUUGAUGUUCAAUACAUAUCUUUCUAAACUAAUUAAUGUCAAGGUUUGUUACUCAUUACAUGUUUGAUUGAUUUAUAUAAUUGAGGAUGUACUUAUUAGCAAUAUUUAGCUUACAUUAUUUAAUAGAAAUCUCUGGUUCAUAUUCACUUUAUGAUUGUAUAAACAAAAUACAAAGGGUAAAAAAAUACGUACUGCUGAAAAAUUGUCAUAUUUUCUUUUUUUUUCUAUCUUUUAUGAGUAAUUUUCCUUCUUAUCUAUCAAAUGUACAGAUCAAGUGAUUUCUGAUAUAGGUUGAUCUUUUGAAGGUCACACAUCUCUACCUUUUUUAUUUUGUCACCCUAUUCAUCUGUGUUUCCUCUUAUUUUCAAUUUUAUUCUUGCAACACCAAUGAUUAUGACAGGGUUUUUCGUAUUGUUUUUAUGAGAUUGAGAUGUUUGUUAGGAUUAUGAGGAUCUCACAAUAAUACAGGUGGUGCUAAUGUAACAUUGGAAAAAUGAUUGAGUUGGUUUCCUUUAAUACAUACAGUCUCAUUUUCAUUUUCUUGUACGUAUUCUAUUUUCCUUUUUUCUUUUUCUUUUUCUUGUAAUUAUUCUUUUUUCUUUUUUCUUUUUCAUUUUCUAAUUAUAAUUAUUAUUUUAGCAUAUUUUUUAAUCUGUGUAACUUAUGUUAAUUGUUUAAUUAUCAGAAUAUAGAAGACGACAUUUUAUGUUCUUAAGGAUAUAAGUAUAUAUUUAAUUAAUUUUGAUGUUCAAUACAUAUCUUUCUAAACUAUUUAAUGUCAAUGUUUUUUACUCAUUACAUGUUUGAUUGAUUUAUAUAAAUGGGGAUGUACUUAAUGAAAAUAUUUAGCUUACAUUAUUUAAUAGAAAUCUUUGGUUCAUAUUCACUUUAUGAUUGUAUAAACAAAAUACCAAGGGUAAAAAAAUACGUAAUGCUGAAAAAUUGUCAUAUUAUCUUUUUUUUUCUAUCUUUUAUGAGUAUUUUUCAUUCUUAUCUAUCAAAUGUACAGAUCAUGUGAUUUCUGAUAUAGGUUGUUCUUUUGAAGGUUACACAUCUCUACCUCUUUUAUUUUGUCACCUUAUUCAUCUGUGUUUCCUCCUAUUUUCAAUUUUAUUCUUGCGUCACCAAUGAUUAUGAUAGGGUUUUUCGUAUUGUUUUGAUGAGAUUGAGAUGUUUGUUAGGAUUAUGAGGAUCUCACAAUAAUACAGGUGGUGCUAAUGUAACACAUUUUCGUAUUGUUUUGAUGAGAUUGAGAUGUUUGUUAGGAUUAUGAGGAUCUCACAAUAAUACAGGUGGUGCUAAUGUAACACUGGAAAAAUGAUUGAGUUGGUUUCCUUUAAUACAUACAGUCU
rnacentral:lncRNA from 1 species